GCGAAUCUGUAAUAAUUUCCUUAGGCUCAUCCAGAUUCGUCCUCACUUACCCAGUUUAUGGGGCAUAAAUUCUUAGAUACACAAUCUAUAGAAGAAUGUCAUUAACAACAUAAAUCUGAAAACAAUUUAUGUCCUCCGCUAUCUUACCGCUUCGGUUUCUCAAAACCUUGUCUAAGUAGUCUGGUUUGCUUAAGAGAGCUGCAGGGAACCCAGUGUCCGGGUUUAACAGCCCAUUGAGAGAAACGGGCCACGUGCUGGCUUGCGGAAAGCUGUUGCUUUUCACCUGGAGCCUGGAAGCAGCCCCUCUGUGCCGCUAAAACUUUUCAGAGUGCACAGGCGGGAAAGUAACAUAGUAGGGAAUGAAGGACUCCCUCUUGAUUCCUUACAGUUCUCUUUUGGUUCUCAAACUGACCUCCACACACAGAGGGCAGGGAGAGAUGGAAAAAACAGCAGCCACUUCCCAGAUGCGUGGGUGGCAGGUUUAAUCAGCCACGGAGCUUCCACACGAGUUUUGUCCCGCACAGCGGCAACUCCAGUAGGUCUCCUCAUCUGCCCGCCAGAAUCUUCCAAGUUCACCUACGGCACAGACGGUCUCAGCAACACGGCGCUCUCUCUAAGCUGUGUCCAUGGAAAAGGCUCCCCCGCUAGGAAUGGUGGGCAGAACGUGCAAGCGGAGAGGGGGCGUGACGAGCUUCCCAUUGCGCAGAUCCAGCUCUCGAGUCAACAAGCCGUCAUGUUCUCCCGAUGACCCCCUUCCAAUACUCUGCCCCCUCGUGCGGCCUCGAGGUCAAUUCGUUAGAUUCUGGCAGGCAGGUGCAGAGGUCUACUCCAGCUGCGGGCGCGCAGGACAAGCCCCACACCCGAGCUCUCCGGCUUGUUAAGGCGACCACCUACUGGUCUGGAGUGGCUGCCUCCUUCCUCCGUCUCUCGCUGCCCUCUGCGUGGGGGGGUCAGAUUCAGAUGACCCCAGCGAAGUUUCUGAGGCUGAGAAAACAUUUCCACCCACGUAAAACACAAGUGCGGAAGAGUAAAGAGAAGAAAAAGCUUUUUUUCUCAUGAUGGACUGCUCGCAACUUAAAGCCAAUACAGAGACCAGUGCUGGUGUCCUUCACGAGGGCCAGCCUCAGGGCCUCCAGUAAAGGAGAAUAACCAGGAUCAGCUCACAGGAGUCAUUGUAAAAGGGGGAGAGCACUCCAGUGUCCCUGCCUUUUAAAAAUUUUAUUGGAAUAUAAGCUUUGACAAAGUAGUGAUUGGUUUGCUUUUGGUAUAAACAUAAUAACCUUUCUCUAAGAAAUUUACCUUUUCAUGUGAUAUAUAUAUAUAUAGAUAGAUGAUAGAUAGAUAGAUAGAUAGAUAUAUUCAAACACGUGUUUUGCUUCUGCUCGAAAUUGCAAGUACAUUGCAAAUAAGAUGCUCUCUGUAAAGGACUCGAUUUUACUUGCUGUAGCAAACUGUGUAUGGAAUUAAACAGUGCUUGGGCUGGAGAAAGGGAAGUUUGUUCAUAGAAGCCUCUCUCUUCAGUUCCUUCUUCCUCAAAGACGUAUAUCAAGGGCCCUUUUUAUUCUGCAGAAGGUGGGGUAGAAAACACCAGAAAGGAUAUGGUUAGUGUUAUCACAAACUUACGAGAUAAUUUAAAUGCACUUGUAACAAGUAAGUCCCAAACUCAUGACUAAUAGUGCCUGUAAACCUUUAAGCCUGUGGACCAAGGACAGCAAUGAGUUAUAGCUGCAGGGGCCAGGGUCUCCAUUUGACUUGUAGGGACUGGACUGGUCCAUAGUCAUCAAAGGAGCUUAUGGUUGGAAUGACUACAUGUUCCCAUUUUCUGAGGACAGCACUGUUUUGUUCAUGUUAUC
ensembl:lincRNA